UGUAGAGAACAUUUUCCACCUCUUCCAUCGCCGGUCUUCGGCUGAAAGAUGGAUCAGGAAAAAGCCAUGACCUCUCCGAGGGAGAAACCUCUCGGCCAUUUACUCCAAGUCCCGCAGCAUCUCGCCGUGUGCUGAUGGAGCCCCAAAAUUUGUCCUCGUUCCCUCCCUGGGGGCUGCAGAGGGGCUGCCGGAGGCUCUGCCGUGUCCUACCCCGUGCCAACCCCUGCAGGGGAGCGGAGCUACGUGCCGUCUGCGUGGGGUUAUGGGUCCAGUGCAGCGUGGCCUUUUGGGGGAAGUCUUGUGUGACAUGAGAACAAGCUGUAAGCGUUUGCAGACGUUGCCCCAGGUAAUUGGAGUCCUGCUUUAUUACUGACCAUCAGAGCACACCGGACAGAGGAGUUUCACUCGUCCAGCAGCUGUGUGACCCGAAAGGACUCUCGGAUUUUAUUUGCAUCCCUUCGUGCAGUGUCCAUGUGCCACAGAGAAUACAGGGAGCGUCCUGAAAAGGAAAUACCCUUCUUGUUGUGCAGAACGCAGCGUCCCUCCCAUCCAUUUAUUUUACAGGGCUUCUUCCCUCGCCUACCUGCCAGACUUGCUGGGUAAAGAGAAGGGAGGAUUAAGUGAGAAAACGAGUUGAACGAGCUGUGCACGUUACUUCCCAGGUCCUUCAUGCAGCCAGUGAAAGCUUUUUUAAAUUCUCAGCUCACCCCCCAGGAAUAGAAGAGAGAACCCAGAAGGCAGCAAACGAACGAAUCCCUUCCAUUGUGCUGCUGCCCUCCGGAGUCCCUGGGUUACAGACAGGGGAGGGUGGGUGCUGCACGAUUCCCUGCAGGCUCAAACAAAUUUUUGGUUACUGAGCAUGCAGCCAAAGGUGUAAAACUGCCCUCUUAGCUGCUCAGAGAGUCACCUUGAUACAAAUCUGUUGAAACUGGAGAGGACGAAGCAGAGAGCUGCUUGCCAAGGAUGCGUGCUCAGGAAAAGCUGUGCAAGGGAGUAGAACACAUUUGUCCUAGAACAAUUCACCUUUCAGGCUACUAACACAAUUUU
rnacentral:lncRNA from 1 species